rnacentral:rRNA from 1 species
CAGUCGCCGCGGUAAUACGAAGGGGGCUAGCGUUGUUCGGAUUUACUGGGCGUAAAGCGCACGUAGGCGGAUCGAUCAGUCAGGGGUGAAAUCCUGGAGCUCAACUCCAGAACUGCCUUUGAUACUGUCGAUCUCGAGUCCGGAAGAGGUGAGUGGAACUCCUAGUGUAGAGGUGGAAUUCGUAGAUAUUAGGAAGAACACCAGUGGCGAAGGCGGCUCACUGGUCCGGUACUGACGCUGAGGAGCGAAAGCGUGGGGAGCGAACAGGAUUAGAUACCCCGGUAGUCCCUGUCUCUUAUAU